rnacentral:lncRNA from 1 species
GGCCCUGUAUUAAUGCCCGGUUUGUCUGUAUAAAGCACAGUUAGGGUUUUUAAUAAAGUUAAUAAAAUUAAGUUGUAAAGAGUAUAAUACUUUUUUGUAUUUAAUUUGAUUUAGUAACCAGCAACCAACAUUAAAGAACCAUAUAUAGGGAUCACUGUUCCUCCUGUUUUUCAACACAUAACUUCUGUCAACUUAAUAUCUUGGAUAUUUGGUAAAUUAACACAUACACUUUUAUUCAGUUGGUUAAUAAAUGUAUUAAGAAAUGGGUGUUUUUGUAAUGGCUCUGUUAUAUGUCCUCGGUCAGUAAUAAUGGCCUCGGAUGUCUGUAAUGGCCCUCGGCG